rnacentral:rRNA from 1 species
UACGGGGGGAGCAAACGUUGUUCGGAAUCACUGGGCGUAAAGGGCGUGUAGGCGGCUGGAUAAGUGGGAUGUUAAAUCCCCCGGCUCAACCGGGGACCUGCAGUCUCAUACUGUUCAGCUCGAGCACAUCAGAGGAGACUGGAAUUCCCGGUGUAGCGGUGAAAUGCGUAGAUAUCGAGAGGAACACCUGCGGCGAAGGCGGGUUGCUGGGCUGACACUGACGCUGAGGCGCGAAAGCUAGGGGAGCGAACGGG